rnacentral:rRNA from 1 species
GACGAACGCUGGCGGCGUGCUUAACACAUGCAAGUCGAGCGGUAAGGCCCUUUCGGGGGUACACGAGCGGCGAACGGGUGAGUAACACGUGGGUGACCUGCCCUCAGCUCUGGGAUAAGCCUGGGAAACCGGGUCUAAUACCGGAUAUGACUCCAUGACGCAUGUUGUGGGGUGGAAAGCCUUGUGCGGCUGAGGAUGGGCCCGCGGCCUAUCAGCUUGUUGGUGGGGUAAUGGCCACCAAGGCGACGACGGGUAGCCGGCCUGAGAGGGCGACCGGCCACACUGGGACUGAGACACGGCCCAGACUCCUACGGGAGGCAGCAGUGGGGAAUCUUGCGCAAUGGGCGAAAGCCUGACGCAGCGACGCCGCAUGAGGGAUGACGGCCU